CACAACUGUUGGCGGAAGGGAAGUAAGAGCCAAAACGUCGUCGCAGGUUGGUUUACAACACAGAUAAACACAGUUUCUCAAAAACCCUAGUUCUUCUUACACUCUCAUCCAAACCCUCUCUUUCACUUUCUCUCCACCAAUGGAAACCCCUUCCGAGGCACCAUCUGCCGGCACCGGCGAAACCAUAAGCAAGAAUGCGCUGAAACGGGAACUGAAGAACAAACAGAGAGAAGAAGAAAGGAAGCGCAAGGAAGAGGAGAAGGCCAAAAAGGCAGCUGAAAUGCAGAAGGCAAAGGAUAACAAAUCUGCACCAGCUGAUGACGAGGAUAUGGACCCAACACAAUAUCUUGAAAAUAGGUUGAAGUAUCUUUCAUCUCAAAAGACAGAUGGGAAGAACCCGUAUCCUCACAAGUUCUUUGUCACUAUGUCUAUCGAGGAAUACAUUAAGGAAUAUGGAGGUUUAAGCGAUGGGCAGCAUGCCGACGAUGUCUCUGUUUCUUUGGCAGGCCGGGUCAUGCACAAGCGCACCUCUGGUUCUAAGCUCGUCUUUUAUGACCUGCAUGGUGGUGGCUUCAAGGUCCAGGUUAUGGCUGAUGCGAGUAAAUCAAACUUGGAUGAGGCUGAAUUUUCUAAAUUCCACUCUAAUGUGAAGCGUGGUGACAUAGUUGGUGUUACGGGUUUUCCAGGAAAAAGUAAGAAGGGUGAACUUAGUAUUUUCCCCAAGAAUUUUGUGGUGCUGUCUCAUUGUUUGCAUAUGAUGCCAAGGCAAAAGUCUGCUGCUGCUGCUGUUGAUAAUGCAAAUUUGAAGAAAAGUCCAUGGGUUCCAGGGAAUGCUAGGAAUCCUGAAACAUAUAUUUUGAAGGAUCAGGAAACUAGAUAUCGGCUUCGCCAUUUGGAUUUGAUGCUUAAUCCAGAGGUUCGAGAUAUAUUUAAGACCAGAUCAAAAGUCAUUUCGUACAUUAGGAGGUUCCUUGAUGAUCUUGAUUUCUUGGAGGUUGAAACCCCUAUGAUGAACAUGAUUGCUGGUGGAGCUGCUGCCCGACCAUUUGUAACACAUCACAAUGAACUUAACAUGAGGUUAUUCAUGAGGAUUGCCCCUGAACUGUAUCUUAAGGAGUUGGUUGUUGGUGGACUGGAUCGUGUUUAUGAAAUUGGGAAGCAAUUUAGGAAUGAGGGCAUUGAUUUGACUCAUAAUCCUGAGUUUACUACUUGUGAGUUUUAUAUGGCUUACAAGGACUACAAUGACUUAAUGGAUAUAACAGAGCAAAUGUUAAGUGGUAUGGUUAAGGAACUUACCAAAGGCAGCUAUAAAAUCAAGUAUCAUGCAAAUGGGGUUGACAAAGACCCUAUUGAAAUUGACUUUACUCCACCUUUUAGAAGGAUUGAUAUGAUUGAAGGAUUAGAGCAGAUAGCCGGACUAAGUAUUCCUAAGGAUUUGUCGAGUGAGGAAGCUAAUCAGUAUUUGAAGGAUGCAUGCUUGAAGUUUGAGAUUAAAUGUCCCCCUCCAGAGACAACAGCUCGUUUGUUGGAUAAACUUGUGGGUCACUUUUUGGAAGAAACUUGUGUAAAUCCUACAUUCAUCAUAAACCAUCCCGAGAUAAUGAGUCCUUUAGCGAAGUGGCACAGAUCAAAACCAGGCCUGACCGAACGAUUUGAAUUGUUUGUCAAUAAACAUGAACUUUGCAAUGCGUAUACCGAAUUGAAUGACCCUGCAGUACAACGACAAAGAUUUGCUGAACAACUCAAGGAUCGGCAAUCUGGUGAUGAUGAAGCAAUGGCGUUGGAUGAAACAUUUUGUACGGCUCUGGAAUAUGGUUUACCACCUACUGGUGGUUGGGGCUUGGGCAUUGAUCGGUUGACCAUGUUACUGACAGAUUCACAGAAUAUUAAGGAGGUUCUUCUCUUCCCUGCGAUGAAACCUCAAGACUGAAUCUCCUACCAAAUGUGUGUUUAAAUUAGUGAAAUCAUCAUACACAGUUCAGUUCAGCCGCAAUUAAUCAUCCACGAAGAGUUUUCGGUGAUUAAUUCCUAUCUAGUAUAAAUGGAACAUGAAAAAGCGGAUGAUUAAUUUGGUAUCUCAGUUUUGAUUCAUGCAUCGUUUCUCAGUUGAUCUAACCUGUAAGGGCGGUUGGGGAGCGGUCGUUGAUCUAUAUUUUAUCUUUUGGUGGUUGGAUUAAAUGUGAUGUCAUAUACUAGCUUAUUUAUUACACAUUUAAGAUUUGAUACAAUUUUUUAGUACAUUUCUCAUUAAGCCAAUGUUACUUCUGCUCAAUGUAGUGGUGGGUGUUUGGGUUAAAAAUUAAAGAUAAAUGAGCUACCUCUCAUGAUCA